GUAGUGGGAUGACAGGCAGGAAGCGGCGAUUCCGCCGUUUUCAGCCAGUCUUUCUAUCAUGUUUCGCGCACAACUUUUCAACAUACUUUUUUUUAUUAUCAAACCCAACCCAAACAACAAACCAUAAACUAAAACAUAACUUUAUAAAAACUCGUGACGGUGGAUGUCUUGGCUCCAGCAACGAUGAAAAACGCAGCAAAAUGCGAUACGUAGUGCGAAUUGCAGAAUCCGUGAAUCAUCGAAUCUUUGAACGCAAGUUGCGCUCGCGGGCAAUCCUGCGAGCAUGUCUGUUUGAGUGUCCGCACAAAUGAGACUUUUGCUUCUUUCCGACAGAGGAAGAAGCUGCUGAUGGGUGUUUUUGUCCAGUCCUCACACACACUUUUUGUGUGUGUUGUGUGUUGGUGCAGAAGAUUUCCGUGCAACCCGAAAGGGGGAAGCGGUCACCUGAAGAAUAGCUUUGUAUGGGAUGUUGUUUUGUCGGUUUGAAGUACGCUUGGCACUUUUUUUCGGAGGGAUGUAGGUGCAGAGCGGUUGUGGAAGGUGCAACUGCAGAAUCGGCUAGACAAUGCUUCCCCGCAGGAGUAGAAUACACGACUGUGAAGGGGAUGGCAGAGGAUGGUUUGUGUUUCCGGGCAAAAUGCCCUCUGUAUCGUCGAUCGUUACUUUUAUAUACAGGACUUUCAUUGUAACAUAAACCUUAUAACAUUUUGGAUCUCAAAUCAGACAAGACGACCCGCUGAAU
rnacentral:rRNA from 1 species